GAUGAACGCUGGCGGCGUGCCUAAUACAUGCAAGUCGAGCGAACAGACGAGGAGCUUGCUCCUCGGACGUUAGCGGCGGACGUGUGAGAAACACGUGUAUAACCUACCUAUAAUACUGGGAUAACUUCGGGAAACCGGAGCUAAUCCCGGAUAAGAUAUUGAACCGCAUGGUGCAUUAGUGAAAGACGGUUUUGGUGUAACUUAUAGAUGGAUCCGCGCCGGAUUAGGUAGUUGGGAGGUUAAGCGCUUAUCACGGCAACGAUGGGCAGGCGAGUUGAGAGGGUGGUCGGCGGCAUGGGAAGUGAGCCGCGGUCCAUGCUCCUAAGGGAGGGAGCAGUAGGGAAUGUUCGGCAAUGGGGGAAAGUAUUACGGAGCAAGGCCGCGCGAGUGAUGAAGGUCUUCGGAUCGUGAUACUCUGUUAUUGGGGAAGAACAAAUGUGUAAGUAACUAUGCACGUCUUGACGGUACCUAAUCAGAAAGCCACGGCUAACUACGUG
rnacentral:rRNA from 1 species